CUCAGGAAGAAAAAUAUGAAGACGUUCAUGUCGUCGUGCGUGGUUCCAGUCUAUUUGCCUGGUUUUGAGUUUUCAAGUUCAGUUUACUCGGUGCUGUCACUGUCUUUUAUACCAUACCGCCUCUCUUCUCUUAUAGAGGUCAAGAUUUUGUGAAGUGUGCUUUAUCCUGGUCAGGUGCAGUGGAUCUGGAGCCUCUCCUAGGAACACUGGAGACGAGGUGGUAAUACACCCUGGAAGUGAUGCCACUCUGUCGUUCACUAGAUGUAUGCAUCGGGACUGGGAUCUCACAGGAUUCACCAGGAGGGAAACUUAAAUAUGUUAUGUAGCUUCUGAAGGGCGGUACUAAAUGAAAUAAAUUAAGAUCUUUAAACAAAAUAAUAAUAAUUCACACCAAUUAUCCUGUUCAAUUUUUUUUUGUUGAGCUUUUGAACGUUUGCACCUUUUGUAACAGUUGUGUCCCUCAGUUGUCCUCAGUGUGAAAAGAUGGAUCUGAUCAUCAUAUAGUCGCUGUUGGAAAGUGUUCAGAUAUGUAGAAGAUGCUGGAAAAUGAAAGAAUGUGCAGGACCUGGAGGAUUUCUCUGAAGAACACUAUAAAGCACCUAUAAAGCACUAAAUGGUCUCGCGCCACAAUAUCUAAGCGACCUUUUGGUUUUCUAUGAUCCGCCACGCCUACUUAGAUCAAAAGAUGCAGGCUAUCUGACGGUACCUCGAAUAGUGAAGGCUACAGCAGGGGGAAGAGCUUUCGCUUAUAGAGCCCCACAGUUAUGGAACAGUCUUCCUAUUAGUGUUCGGGACUCAGACACAGUCUCAGUGUUUAAGUCUAAGCUUAAAACGUAUUUGUUUACUCAAGCCUACCCUGACUAGAUUCUGUUCUACUACUUCGCAGUCAUAAUUAUCUUUUCUCUCCCUCUCUCCUUUCGCCGAGCCCCACACGAAUUUAUGGAGAUACUAGAGAUCCAGAUCCUUUCUGCCUCUGGAUGGAGCUCAAAUCUUCUUUAAUUCUAGACUGCUGGGACUACGGCUGCUCCUAACGCCAUACAGACUUCAUAUAAAUCCAUAAUGAACUUUUUCACACUAUCU